rnacentral:rRNA from 1 species
UGGGGAAUUUUGGACAAUGGGCGAAAGCCUGAUCCAGCAAUGCCGCGUGUGUGAAGAAGGCCUUCGGGUUGUAAAGGCACUUUUGUCCGGAAAGAAAUCCUUGGCUCUAAUACAGUCGGGGGAUGACGGUACCGGAAGAAUAAGCACCGGCUAACUACGUGCCAGCAGCCGCGGUAAUACGUAGGGUGCAAGCGUUAAUCGGAAUUACUGGGCGUAAAGCGUGCGCAGGCGGUUUGCUAAGACCGAUGUGAAAUCCCCGGGCUCAACCUGGGAACUGCAUUGGUGACUGGCAGGCUAGAGUAUGGCAGAGGGGGGUAGAAUUCCACGUGUAGCAGUGAAAAUGCGUAGAGAUGGUGGAGGAAUACCGAUGGCGAAAGGCAGCCCCCUGGGCCAAUACUGACGCUCAUGCACGAAAGCGUGGGGAGCAAACAGGAUUAGAUACCCUGGUAGUCCACGCCCUAAACGAUGUCAACUAGUUGUUGGGGAUUCAUUCCUUAGUAACGUAGCUAACGCGUGAAGUUGACCGCCUGGGGAGUACGGUCGCAAGAUUAAAACUUAAAGGAAUUG